rnacentral:rRNA from 1 species
CGGUGAGCAACCUGCCUUGGAGUGGGGGAAGAAACAAGCUGGAAACAAGUUGCUAAUACCGCAUAAUGCAGCGAGGGGACGAUCCUCUUGCUGCCAAAGAUUUAUCGCUCUGAGAUGGACUCGCGUCUGAUUAGCUGGUUGGCGGGGUAACGGCCCACCAAGGCGACGAUCAGUAGCCGGACUGAGAGGUUGACCGGCCACAUUGGGACUGAGAUACGGCCCAG